rnacentral:rRNA from 1 species
ACUCAAAUGAAUUGACGGGGGCCCGCACAAGCGGUGGAGCAUGUGGUUCAAUUCGACGCAACGCGAAGAACCUUACCCAGGCUUGAACUGCAGAUGACAUCCUACGAAAGUAGGCUCCCGAAAGGGCAUCUGUAGAGGUGCUGCAUGGCUGUCGUCAGCUCGUGUCGUGAGAUGUUGGGUUAAGUCCCGCAACGAGCGCAACCCUUGUCUUCUGUUGCCAUCGGGUCAUGCCGGGCACUCUGAAGAGACUGCCGGUGACAAACCGGAGGAAGGUGGGGAUGACGUCAAGUCAGCAUGGCCUUUAUGUCUGGGGCCACACACGUGCUACAAUGGCCGGUACAAACCGUCGCGAUCCCGCGAGGGGGAGCUAAUCGGAGAAAGCCGGUCUCAGUUCGGAUUGCAGGCUGCAACUCGCCUGCAUGAAGCUGGAAUCGCUAGUAAUCGCGGAUCAGCACGCCGCGGUGAAUACGUUCCCGGGCCUUGUACACACCGCCCGU